UUCAUGUAGACAUAUAAAUUAGUUUGGAUCAGUCAUGUGCCUGAUCCAAACUAAUUUAUAUGUCUACAUGAACUCUGCACAUGACUGAUCCAAACUAAUUUAUAUGUCUACAUG
rnacentral:pre_miRNA from 1 species